UAGGGAAUCUUCGGCAAUGGGGGCAACCCUGACCGAGCAACGCCGCGUGAGUGAAGAAGGUUUUCGGAUCGUAAAGCUCUGUUGUAAGAGAAGAACGUGUGUGAGAGUGGAAAGUUCACACAGUGACGGUAACUUACCAGAAAGGGACGGCUAACUACGUGCCAGCAGCCGCGGUAAUACGUAGGUCCCGAGCGUUGUCCGGAUUUAGUGGGCGUAAAGCGAGCGCAGGCGGUUUAAUAAGUCUGAAGUGAAAGGCGGUGGCUUAACCAUUGUUCGCUUUGGAAACUGUUAAACUUGAGUGCAGAAGGGGAGAGUGGAAUUCCAUGUGUAGCGGUGAAAUUCGGAGAUAUAUGGAGGAACAACGGUGGCGAAAGCGGCUCUCUGGUCUGUAACUGACGCUGAGGCUCGAAAGCGUGGGGAGCAAACAGG
rnacentral:rRNA from 1 species